UACGAAGGGGGCUAGCGUUGCUCGGAAUUACUGGGCGUAAAGCGCACGUAGGCGGCUUGUUAAGUCGGGGGUGAAAUCCUGGAGCUCAACUCCAGAACUGCCUUCGAUACUGGCGAGCUCGAGUUCGGGAGAGGUGAGUGGAACUGCGAGUGUAGAGGUGAAAUUCGUAGAUAUUCGGAAGAACACCAGUGGCGAAGGCGACAUACUGGCUCAUUACUGACGCUGAGGCUCGAAAGCGUGGGGAGCAAACAGG
rnacentral:rRNA from 1 species